rnacentral:lncRNA from 1 species
UCCAUCUCCACCUUCCCCACACCGGGCAUCUGAAGGGACAUGGUGUGUGGAGGAGCCAGGCAGCUCUCCAACUGCAACGUGGUGAAAAACUGCCUUGUUUUUAAGGUCAAAGAGCUCUUGAUCUAAACCUUCUGGAAAAAUCAGUGUGAUCCGCAAAGCAUCACGUUGCAGCAUUUUAUUCUCUCUUCAUCAGUCUUCGGCAUAGACUGACAUAUGGCAAUUAAAAUUAGCAGCAAUGCUGGAAAACGUUAAACAGCCAAAAGAAGAUGAAGACAAGACAGCAGAUAACCAGACUCUGUGCCAAGGGCUAAAGCCGACGUUCCUUUGGGUCACAGCUCUGCGUUGGAAAGAUCUCCUGAGUUUUCCCAGCAGAACUGAUCACUUGGUGCAUUUGUUCCCACCAAUGGGCUUUGGAAUGGUCUUCUGACAGCGAAGAACUUCAGUUAAAUCAUACCAAGUUCCUGGAAACCAAAAAAUUCCAGCUGGAAUUUAACUGGGAAUGCCUCAGAGCCAGUCAAACCACUCUAUGCCAAAAAUAGAAAGACUCACACAUGUAGCAUUAAUAAAUUGUAACAUUGUGCCUUUGUGAAGAAUAAC